AGCCGCGUGGUGAUCACAGAGCGAACUAUUCUUUCGCCUUUUACUAAAGAAUACCGUGUGAUCUCCAUUGAUAACGGCAUGCUUAUAUUUUUGGAGGGAUUUUUCCAUUGCGAAGAUA
rnacentral:snRNA from 1 species